rnacentral:rRNA from 1 species
CGCUGGCGGCGUGCCUAAUACAUGCAAGUAGAACGCUGAAGGAGAAGCUGCUUCUCCGGAUGAGUUGCGAACGGGUGAGUAACGCGUAGGUAACCUGCCUGGUAGCGGGGGAUAACUAUUGGAAACGAUAGCUAAUACCGCAUAAGAGUAGAUGUUGCAUGACAUUUGCUUAAAAGGUGCAAUUGCAUCACUACCAGAUGGACCUGCGUUGUAUUAGCUAGUUGGUGGGGUAACGGCUCACCAAGGCGACGAUACAUAGCCGACCUGAGAGGGUGAUCGGCCACACUGGGACUGAGACACGGCCCAGACUCCUACGGGAGGCAGCAGUAGGGAAUCUUCGGCAAUGGACGGAAGUCUGACCGAGCAACGCCGCGUGAGUGAAGAAGGUUUUCGGAUCGUAAAGCUUCUGUUGUAAGAGAAGAAACGAAG